rnacentral:rRNA from 1 species
AUUGAACGCUGGCGGCAGGCCUAACACAUGCAAGUCGAACGGCAGCACAGAAGAGCUUGCUCUUUGGGUGGCGAGUGGCGGACGGGUGAGUAAUGUCUGGGAAACUGCCCGAUGGAGGGGGAUAACUACUGGAAACGGUAGCUAAUACCGCAUAACGUCGCAAGACCAAAGUGGGGGACCUUCGGGCCUCACACCAUCGGAUGUGCCCAGAUGGGAUUAGCUAGUAGGUGGGGUAACGGCCCACCUAGGCGACGAUCCCUAGCUGGUCUGAGAGGAUGACCAGCCACACUGGAACUGAGACACGGUCCAGACUCCUACGGGAGGCAGCAGUGGGGAAUAUUGCACAAUGGGCGCAAGCCUGAUGCAGCCAUGCCGCGUGUAUGGAGAAGGCCUUCGGGUUGUAAAGUACUUUCAGCGGGGAGGAAGGCGAUGUGGUUAAUAACCGCGUCGAUUGACGUUACCCGCAGAAGAAGCACCGGCUAACUCCGUGCCAGCCGCCGCGGUAA